rnacentral:sRNA from 1 species
GAGGGAGAGCUCAGGCCGCCAUGCGGGACAGGACCCACGAGCUGAGACAGGGGGAUGACAGCUCGGACGAAGAGGACAAGGAGCGGGUCGCGCUGGUGGUGCACCCGGGCACGGCACGGCUGGGGAGCCCGGACGAGGAGUUCUUCCACAAGGUAAGGGGCUGGGGUCUCCGCCUGGAUUCGCGAGGGUGUAGGAGGACCCGAGGAGUAGCGUGGUCUGGAGUACCCCAUAUCUCUUUCAGCCCUCUCGGUCACCCUCCCCAGGUCCGGACAAUUCGGCAGACUAUUGUCAAACUGGGGAAUAAAGUCCAGGAGUUGGAGAAACAGCAGGUCACCAUCCUGGCCACGCCCCUUCCCGAGGAGAGUGAGUGAAACCCCGGCUGCAGGGCGCAUGCUCCGCCCCAGGGAUUGUGGGGGUUGUAGUUCCAUGCAGGUGGUGGCCAGAGUGGUUUGUUGAGGUGGGGGCUGCUGUUUGGGAGUCUUGGCCUUCUCUUAUUCAGGCAUGAAGCAGGAGCUGCAGAACCUGCGCGAUGAGAUCAAACAGCU